GGAAGGGUGGCCGAGCGGUUGAUGGCGCUGGUCUUGAAAACCAGUUUCCGAGUAAUCGGAACGUGAGUUCGAAUCUCACCCCUUCCG
rnacentral:tRNA from 3 species